rnacentral:rRNA from 1 species
UACGUAGGCAGCAAGCGUUGUUCGGAGUUACUGGGCGUAAAGGGUGCGUAGGCGGUUCGUCGCGUCGGCUGUGAAAUCCCGAGGCUCAACCUCGGUCUGCAGUCGAUACGGGCGGACUGGAGUUCGGCAGGGGAGACUGGAAUUCCUGGUGUAGCGGUGAAAUGACGCAGAUAUCAGGAGGAACACCGGUGGCGAAGGCGGGUCUCUGGGCCGAUACUGACGCUGGAGGAGCGAAAGCGUGGGAGCGAACAGG